UACGUAGGUGACAAGCGUUGUCCGGAUUUAUUGGGCGUAAAGGGAGCGCAGGCGGUCUGUUUAGUCUAAUGUGAAAGCCCACGGCUUAACCGUGGAACGGCAUUGGAAACUGACAGACUUGAAUGUAGAAGAGGAAAAUGGAAUUCCAAGUGUAGCGGUGGAAUGCGUAGAUAUUUGGAGGAACACCAGUGGCGAAGGCGAUUUUCUGGUCUAACAUUGACGCUGAGGCUCGAAAGCGUGGGGAGCGAACAGGAUUAGAUACCCGGGUAGUCC
rnacentral:rRNA from 1 species